rnacentral:rRNA from 1 species
GAUGAACGCUGGCGGCGUGCUUAACACAUGCAAGUCGAACGGUGAAGGCGGAGCUUGCUCUGCUGGAUCAGUGGCGAACGGGUGAGUAACACGUGAGCAAUCUGCCCCUGACUCUGGGAUAAGCGCUGGAAACGGCGUCUAAUACUGGAUACGAGCUGCGAAGGCAUCUUCAGCAGCUGGAAAGAAUUUCGGUCAGGGAUGAGCUCGCGGCCUAUCAGCUUGUUGGUGAGGUAAUGGCUCACCAAGGCGUCGACGGGUAGCCGGCCUGAGAGGGUGACCGGCCACACGGGGACUGAGACACGGCCCAGACUCCUACGGGAGGCAGCAGUGGGGAAUAUUGCACAAUGGGCGAAAGCCUGAUGCAGCAACGCCGCGUGAGGGACGACGGCCUUCGGGUUGCAAACCUCUUUUAGCAGGGAAGAAGCGAAAGUGACGGUACCUGCAGAAAAAGCGCCGGCUAACUACGUG